rnacentral:rRNA from 1 species
CCUACGGGCGGCAGCAGUGGGGAAUAUUGGACAAUGGGGGCAACCCUGAUCCAGCCAUGCCGCGUGUGUGAAGAAGGCCCUCGGGUUGUAAAGCACUUUCAGUGAGGAAGAACGCCUGGUGGUUAAUACCCAUCAGGAAAGACAUCACUCACAGAAGAAGCACCGGCUAACUCCGUGCCAGCAGCCGCGGUAAUACGGAGGGUGCGAGCGUUAAUCGGAAUUACUGGGCGUAAAGCGCGCGUAGGUGGCUUGAUAAGCCGGUUGUGAAAGCCCCGGGCUCAACCUGGGAACGGCAUCCGGAACUGUCAAGCUAGAGUGCAGGAGAGGAAGGUAGAAUUCCCGGUGUAGCGGUGAAAUGCGUAGAGAUCGGGAGGAAUACCAGUGGCGAAGGCGGCCUUCUGGACUGACACUGACACUGAGGUGCGAAAGCGUGGGUAGCACACCGGAUUAGAUACACGAGUAGUC